GAGGUUCUGGGCCGAAACCCAUAA
rnacentral:snRNA from 1 species